GAGGCCGGGCGUCUUCGGUCAUCUCCGGCGCUUGUAGGGGUGGUUCCCGUCAUCUUCGGGAGCCGUGGAGCUCUCGGAUACAGCCGACACCAUGGGUUUCGGAGACCUGAAAAGCCCUGCCGGCCUCCAGGUGCUCAACGAUUACCUGGCGGACAAGAGCUACAUCGAGGGGUAUGUGCCAUCACAAGCAGAUGUGGCAGUAUUUGAAGCCGUGUCCAGCCCACCGCCUGCCGACUUGUGUCAUGCCCUACGUUGGUAUAAUCACAUCAAGUCUUACGAAAAGGAAAAGGCCAGGUAAAAUCAUCUUUGUAUAGAGCUGAAGAAUAAGACUGCUCUCGAAGUUUAUCAGGAUGUUCACAUGACAAAACUGGACCCAGGCUACUUUAGUUUUGUUGGGAUAUUGUAAGCUAAAUUUUUCUGUAACCUUAGAAGGCCAAGAGACUGAAGCCCUCCAUUUUUUCACAGAACAGGUAGAACAUGGACAGCAGCAAUUCAACUUUUCCCCACACUGCCCUGCCAAUGUGCCUCGACCUUGACCUGGGGGGCCCACCUCUGGGGUGAGAGGGUGGCUCAUUCAUUCAGUCCUUGGCCAUUCUUCUGAAACUGCCAACAAGGGUGGAAGUUUGGGGAAGUGGACUCCAGUUCACUAAGAAUGGAACUGAGCAUACUUAAUGAAAUCUCAAACAGAAAUGUUCAUACUG
rnacentral:sRNA from 1 species